rnacentral:tRNA from 1 species
GCGUAAUUGGUUUAGUGGUAAAAUUCUCCGUUGCCAGUCACGUGACUUAAAUCGGGGAGCCCUGGGUUCGAUUCCCAGAUUACGCA